rnacentral:rRNA from 1 species
AGUGGGAGCACGCUUAGGCGUGUGACUGCGUACCUUUUGUAUAAUGGGUCAGCGACUUAUAUUCUGUAGCAAGGUUAACCGAAUAGGGGAGCCGAAGGGAAACCGAGUCUUAACUGGGCGUUAAGUUGCAGGGUAUAGACCCGAAACCCGGUGAUCUAGCCAUGGGCAGGUUGAAGGUUGGGUAACACUAACUGGAGGACCGAACCGACUAAUGUUGAAAAAUUAGCGGAUGACUUGUGGCUGGGGGUGAAAGGCCAAUCAAACCGGGAGAUAGCUGGUUCUCCCCGAAAGCUAUUUAGGUAGCGCCUCGUGAAUUCAUCUCCGGGGGUAGAGCACUGUUUCGGCAAGGGGGUCAUCCCGACUUACCAACCCGAUGCAAACUGCGAAUACCGGAGAAUGUUAUCACGGGAGACACACGGCGGGUGCUAACGUCCGUCGUGAAGAGGGAAACAACCCAGACCGCCAGCUAAGGUCCCAAAGUCAUGGUUAAGUGGGAAACGAUGUGGGAAGGCCCAGACAGCCAGGAUGUUGGCUUAGAAGCAGCCAUCAUUUAAAGAAAGCGUAAUAGCUCACUGGUCGAGUCGGCCUGCGCGGAAGAUGUAACGGGGCUAAACCAUGCACCGAAGCUGCGGCAGCGACGCUGAUGCGUUGUUGGGUAGGGGAGCGUUCUGUAAGCCUGCGAAGGUGUGCUGUGAGGCAUGCUGGAGGUAUCAGAAGUGCGAAUGCUGACAUAAGUAACGAUAAAGCGGGUGAAAAGCCCGCUCGCCGGAAGACCAAGGGUUCCUGUCCAACGUUAAUCGGGGCAGGGUGAGUCGACCCCUAAGGCGAGGCCGAAAGGCGUAGUCGAUGGGAAACAGGUUAAUAUUCCUGUACUUGGUGUUACUGCGAAGGGGGGACGGAGAAGGCUAUGUUGGCCGGGCGACGGUUGUCCCGGUUUAAGCGUGUAGGCUGGUUUUCCAGGCAAAUCCGGAAAAUCAAGGCUGAGGCGUGAUGACGAGGCACUACGGUGCUGAAGCAACAAAUGCCCUGCUUCCAGGAAAAGCCUCUAAGCAUCAGGUAACAUCAAAUCGUACCCCAAACCGACACAGGUGGUCAGGUAGAGAAUACCAAGGCGCUUGAGAGAACUCGGGUGAAGGAACUAGGCAAAAUGGUGCCGUAACUUCGGGAGAA